rnacentral:tRNA from 1 species
AAGUUUAAAGAAAAUUUCUUUUUUUUACUUUCAAGGUAACUAUUUUAUAUAAAUUAUUAAACU